UGUCCCCUUUCCCCUAUCUGCAAAACCAAAAGAAAUAGAACUGCAAAAUAAAAAAACAACAUUUACAAUGCAAAAAUUAACAAUUGAGUGUGCUUGUGUUCUGUUAAUGAAAAUAAAUGGAAAUAUGCAAGUAUAAAAGUUAAAGUAAAAUGAAAAACAAGAAAACAUUAAAAUUCUCUGCUUGCAUCAACAGCAACACAUUUCUGUGUUGCUCUCCCAUUCAAUCCCCCUCUCUCUCUCUCUCUUUGUUUUCAUAUUUCUUUGGCACAAGUUUUAAAACGGGACUGCGGUCGCUCUGCCGGCAGAGCUGCUCGCGCAAAAGACUCGUCGCCGUGUGAGUAUUUGGUAGAAAAAAGUGUCAUUGCAAAUACAAUAGUUUGUCGCGCAGUCGUCUAUGGUGAUGGGAAUAAAAUGUUGUCGUUUUGUUGAAGGGGAAACGGAUGGUAAAACGUGCGCGUGUGAAAUGGUGAGUCAUCGUGAGGGGAAAAUAGUAUCUUAUGUAUAAAGGAGGUAGUUUGGAAUACCUUUCUAAUAUUUUGGCAUGUCUACAACUUAAAGCCAAUCUACACAGACGUUUUCAAAUAUGGAUAAGUGGAUAACAGUGCUUCUACAAGAGCGGAGCUUCAGAAUUCCAACUACUGUUCAAUACAUAGCCGGAUCCAAAGGAUGGCUUAUUUGUGCAUCACAGCCACACUGAGGACGACAUCAUCUGACGUUCAUCUAAUGCCUCUGGACAUUUUGGCUAGAGAAAUGGCUGCAAUCACUGCUGCAAGACUAAGGGAGCUUUGUCUGUGGUUAUACGGCGACUACGGGCACUGUGUUAUCCUUGAUAUAAUAUCUGAUGUUCCAGGUGGUUUGGAUUACACAUUGUAUGAGCCGAUUUUUGCCACCACCUCUGAUAGAAAUGAUUGGAACUAAGAUUUCCUUAGUAUCAGACGUUACAUGGACUUCUUUACGGAUGGAUCUAAACUAGACGACCAGGUCGUUUUUGCUAACGUUUACAUCCCAUCCGCUACUUGAAGCGACAUCCCUAAUGAAGACAAUGCUGCAUCGAGUUUGCUCUUUGUUAACAACGCACACAACAAAUCAUCUCAAUUCAAGAAAAUAAUCAGACAAAAGGCAUACAAACAUACGAAAAAUUACUUCGAACCAGGACCAUUCGGAAAUAAUGAAAAUGGGCAAGAAUAAUGACAAAAGUUCAUGCAGGACUAGGAAUGGCAAUAGCAAUGACAGCAACAACUGCGGCUGUAGCAUCACCCAAUGCCACAGUCCUCAUCAACCCAAUGCGAUCAGAAACAGUAACCAAGGUUGCCUACGCAAUUAAUUUUAUUUCAUAUUUUGUGGUUUAAUGGCGAAUCGGUCUCAAACCACUACUGUGAAUGUGAAUGGCUGUGAUAAUUUUUAUGUAAUGGUCCCCAUAUAAAAAUUUGCAUUCACAAUCGCUAUCCAGCUAUCUUGUGUAACAUAAGAGGGAGAAAAAGCCACAUACCUCUGUACCUGACAACAUGUAACUAUGGACAGCAAAGGGGCUAGCACUUACCGUUUAAUACAUGUAAAAUGACUGUACGUGGUUCACUGUUUGAAGGACUGCAUGUGUAAUUUCCAGAAUCCAGCUUCUGCACCGAUGGUAUAAUUAAUGAAGCAGUCUGUAAUUGAAAUUGAAAGACUGUCUUAAAUAAUAUGUGAAAUUUUCAAUAAAAAUGGUUCGGCGGCUUUUAAUCUCUAUGGAGACAAGAAAAGG